AAAUGUACCUGACAGGGAUGAUACAUGACUGUGUGAUUUUCCCAGGACGAGGCUUAUCCAUUGUACUCCUGAUAUGCUCACCCCAUCAUUUUCCCAAGUGUGGGGUACUUUACUGCAUAAUUUGUAUAGUAGGAGACUACAUAUCCAUACUCUCUCA
rnacentral:snRNA from 1 species